UGAAAAAUAAAAUCAAUCCGAUAGAGUUUUACCUUCACUCUCUUGGCUGCCACGUUUCAUGUCUACCGCCGAGAUGGAAUUGCCAGGUUCCUCAUUCACAAGGCUCAGCAGACUGCCUGUCCGUGUGCACUUGCGAGUAUCUGGAUGUGGCACUUAGUGCAACUGCUCUACUGCCAGGCUGCUCAGACAAAGGGGCAUUGGAAUCGUCAGAUGGAAAGACUCUCUCAUCAGACUGGACGGCCAUCACAGACUGCGCUAUAGAAAACCCAGGAGGGGGUAUGCAGUCAGUUGGCCGAGGUCUCCAGGACUUUGUUUUUGACUAUUUUACACUUUUAAUCUUCGCUAUUGUCAACUGGCCACAGUUCAUCAAUUAGUUAAUGGGCAGAUAUUGUUACUUUCCAUUUAUAUUUAAUCAGUUCUGCCUUGUUCUUUGCGUGUCUUAGCAAAUUUGCAUUUAUAUGUGUACCAGUUCUGAAUUUAGUAACUAGUAAAAUCUGUACUUGUGUUUUGACACAGAAUUGUUCAGUGUAAAGCGUCAUACAAAAAAUAAGUUGUAUUGUAUUCUAUUAUAUUGUAUUGUACACCAGGUCUGCCAAAAACUUUACAUUACAUCUUGAAUAUUCAAAAGUGAAAAUGAUCAGAAGUCUCCAAUCAGAGUGUUGCUAUGUGACAUUGCAUUAUUUUCCAGAUUGUUUUACUUAUGUAUAAUGCUCCAAAAAUAUUCUGUCAAGCACGCAAGUUGGAGGACCACCUUCUAGGUUUAUCGGAUUUAAGCAAUACCACCCUGGGGUGAAAGGAUGCGCAGUUGCUAACAUUCUUGUGUCUUCUGUUACUCUCAGCAGAGAGAAGAUGUCCACUGAGGGCAACUGACUCCUCCCCUAAUGGAUAGAGGACUAUAAAAAAACGGAAUCCCUGGAGAAUAGCGUCUCAUAUCGGAACUGAAUUGCAAACAGUACAAUUUCAAUUUACUUCUGUAUAUGCCAUUGAGUGCCAUUUUUAUUUUAAUAUUUUUUACAUUUGGAUUAAACAGCACUUCCUCAA